rnacentral:rRNA from 1 species
GGGUGCGAUCAUACCAGCACUAAUGCACCGGAUCCCAUCAGAAAUCGCAGUUAAACGUGCUUGGGCGAGAGUAGUACUAGGAUGGGUGAUCUCCUGGGAAGUCCUCAUGUUGCACCCC